rnacentral:rRNA from 1 species
GACAGAGGCCUCAAGCGUUAGGCGGAAUCACUGGGCUUAAAGCGUGUGUAGGCGGAUCGUUAAGUGUCUUGUGAAAUCCCACGGCUCACCCGUGGAACUGCUGGGCAUACUGGCGAUCUUGGGCCAACUAGGGGCAGCCGGAACAAGCGGUGGAGCGGUGAAAUGCGUAGAUAUCGCUUGGAACGCCGAAGGUGAAAACAGGCUGCUGGGGUUGUGGCCGGACGCUGAGACACGAAAGCCAGGGGAGCAAACGGG